CCUACGGGAGGCUGUAGUGGGGGAUAUUGCACAAUGGGGGGAACCCUGAUGCAGCGACGCCGCGUGGGUGAAGGAGUGCUUCGGCAUGUAAAGCCCUAUCGGCAGGGAAGAAGCAAGACGGUACCUGACUAAGAAGCCCCGGCUAACUACGUGCCAGUAGGCACGGUAAUACGUAGGGGGCGAGCGUUAUCCGGGUGCACGGGGUGUAAAGGGAGCGUAGACGGCCAUGCAAGCCAGGGGUGAAAGCCCGGGGCCCAACCCCGGGACCGCCCUUGGAACUGGACGGCUGGAGUGGGAGAGGGGCAGGCGGAAUUCGUGGUGUAGCGGGGAAAUGCGUAGAUAUCGGGAGGAACGCCGGCGGCGAAGGCGGCCUGCUGGACCGCGACUGACGUUGAGGCACGAAAGCGUGGGGAGCGAACAGGAUUAGAUACCCUUGUAGUC
rnacentral:rRNA from 1 species